rnacentral:rRNA from 1 species
AUUGAACGCUGGCGGCAGGCCUAACACAUGCAAGUCGAGCGAGAGGCGGAGGGGUGAGUAAUGCCUGGGAAUUGCCCAGUCGAGGGGGAUAACAGUUGGAAACGCCUGCUAAUACCGACUACGACUGGAUUGCAGCGGUGGGAUUCGAUAGUUCGUGAGGUAAUAGCUUACCAAGGCGACGAUCCAUAGCUGGUCUGAGCGGAUGAUCAGCCACACUGGAACUGAGACACGGUCCAGACUCCUACGGGAGGCAGCAGUGGGGAAUCUUGCGCAAUGGGGGAAACCCUGAUGCAGCAAUGCCGCGUGUGUGAUGAGGGCCGUCGGGUGGUAGAGCACUUUCAGCGAGGAGGCGUUACUCGCAGAAGAAGCACCGGCUAACUCCGUGCCAGCAGCCGCGGUAAUUC